CUCCCCGUAGCUCAACGGACAGAGCAGUGGCGUCCUAAGCCAUUGAUGGGGGUUCGAGUCCCUCCGGGGAGA
rnacentral:tRNA from 2 species